rnacentral:lncRNA from 1 species
AAAUAUCAUAAUAUAUUAAAUCAAAAGCGGACAUACCCGUUUAUUCAAUCUAGAUAGAUAUGGUACACUAUAGUGCUUUGCUAAUUGACACGACCCACAAUCUAAAUGAGACACUUGACUAAGAUUAUGACAUAAUUUCUUCAAAAUAGGGAGAAAAUGAUGACUGAACCGACAAUGGGGCUGCAGAAGAGAAGAGGUACUCAUGCAUGCAAUAGGCCUUGUGGCACCUGUGUGGGAGAAGAGUCGAGCACAUACAAGCCAUUGAACUCACGCCCUCUACCAAUAAUCUGCUUCGUCCCAAGAUCUUGAAAAAUGCAAUGGUUAGGAAAGAAAAUGACACUAUAAUUAAGAGAUUUAGUAAUUUGACUCACAAAUAAAAGAUUAAAAGGAAACUGAGGUAAGCAUAAGACAGAAGACAAAGGCAGAAAGUUUGUUGGAUGUGCUGUCGCGCAUCCGACUACAAGAGUUGCAGAACCAACUAUUAGCUAAAGUGAUACAUGAUAAAUUAGACGAAGACUGGAAUGAUGAAAGUAUACCUGUAUUCCCAAACAUAUGAUCUAUGGAAUCGGAAUAAAUGACCCAAUUGUCGAACAAGGUAGAAAGAUAUGCUACAAAAUUACCUGUGUUGGCUAGAGUGGAAGUGGAACGUAUAACAGGAUGUUGAGGAGUGGGUUGUUGAGAAGCAUAAAAUUGUGUAAAGUAAGCAUAUUCCUCCGCUGAAAUUGUAAUUUGAUGUUGAGAUGGAAGCGUAGUAAGUGCAGGUAGAAGACCAUCUUGAGUAGCAACAUUGGCAAAUUUUCUCAUAGAAGUCUCACUUGUGUACUUUGCUUGUUUGCCAUUUAAUUUCCAACAAUUUCUUCUUAUAUAUCCUUGCUCUCCACAAUAAUAACAACUACAAGAACCACCACUAGAGAUUCUAUCUCGACUACCUCCCUCUCCUCUCCUCCUCCUUUGAUACUGUGAUUGCUAUUUAUCUUUGAGCCAACUAGAGCUACCAUCUCAUUUAGUGUUACACCCCAUUCCUUGUCAUUGUCCUUGCAUACCUGAAGGAGACGAG